CCUACGGGGGGCAGCAGUGAGGAAUAUUGGUCAAUGGGGGAAACCCUGAUGCAGCGACGCCGCGUGUGGGAAGACGGUCCUCUGGAUUGUAAACCACUGUCCCCAGGGACGAAGAUGACGGUACCUGGGGAGGAAGCUCCGGCUAACUACGUGCCAGCAGCCGCGGUACUACGUAGGGAGCGAGCGUUGUCCGGAAUUACUGGGUGUAAGGGGAGCGUAGGCGGGACUGGAAGUUGGGGGUCAAAUCUACCGGCUCAACCGGUAGCCGCACUCAAAACUGCAGUUCUUGAGUGAAGUAGAGGCAGGCGGAAUUCCUAGUGUAGCGGUGAAAUGCGUAGAUAUUAGGAGGAACACCAGUGGCGAAGGCGGCCUGCUGGGCUUUUACUGACGCUGAGGCUCGAAAGUGAGGGGAGCAAACAGGAUUAGAUACCCUUGUAGUC
rnacentral:rRNA from 1 species